AUUGAACGCUGGCGGCAUGCUUUACACAUGCAAGUCGAACGGCAGCGCGGGCUUCGGCCUGGCGGCGAGUGGCGAACGGGUGAGUAAUGCAUCGGAACGUGCCCAGUAGUGGGGGAUAGCCCGGCGAAAGCCGGAUUAAUACCGCAUACGACCUGAGGGUGAAAGCGGGGGACCGAAAGGCCUCGCGCUAUUGGAGCGGCCGAUGUCGGAUUAGCUAGUUGGUGGGGUAAAGGCUUACCAAGGCGACGAUCCGUAGCUGGUCUGAGAGGACGACCAGCCACACUGGGACUGAGACACGGCCCAGACUCCUACGGGAGGCAGCAGUGGGGAAUUUUGGACAAUGGGGGCAACCCUGAUCCAGCCAUGCCGCGUGCGGGAAGAAGGCCUUCGGGAUGUAAACCGCUUUUGUUCGGGAAGAAAUCCUCUGGGCUAAUACCCCGGGGGGAUGACGGUACCGGAAGAAUAAGCACCGGCUAACUACGU
rnacentral:rRNA from 1 species